rnacentral:lncRNA from 1 species
GUGAAUUCUUGCCGAUAAUGUGUUUCUGUAUUUCAGGUAAGCAUGCAUGCCGUCCCACCGUCCAGUCCUUUGGAUCUCCGUCGCCAAGGAACGGGUAAGAUAAUCACGUGUACUGUUCCCACGCCCUUCCCUUUGCAUGACGUGAUAUUCCCAUCUAUCGAACCGUCCGAACUUUCUGCAAGGAUGAUGAUAAAUGUGUCUAUACGAAAAAUAAACACUCUUCUCUUAUUCUAUCUUCUAACUGAUUGUUUCCAAGAAUUCAAAGUCAGAAAGAUCGGAUGUCUUUUUCGUAAUAAAAUCUUUAAAUCUCCCUCUUUAAUUCCGCUAU